rnacentral:rRNA from 1 species
GCGCACCAGGCGAGAAUCUUCGGCAAUGGGCGAAAGCCUGACCGAGCGACGCCGCGUGCGGGAUGAAGGCCUUCGGGUUGUAAACCGCUGUCAGAGGGGAGGAAAUGCCAGGGGGUCGACCUCCUGGCUUGACCUAUCCUCAGAGGAAGGACGGGCGUAAGUUCGUGCCAGCAGCCGCGGUAAGACGAACCGUCCAACGUUAUUCGGAUUACUGGGCUUAAAGGGUGCGUAGGCGGCCGUGCAAGUCGGGUGUGAAAUCCCCUCGGCUCAAACCGAGGAACUGCGCCCGAUACUGCUCGGCUAGAGGGAGACAGAGGUGAGCGGAACUUGCGGUGGAGCGGUGAAAUGCGUUGAUAUCGCAAGGGACACCCCGUGGCGAAAGCGGCUCACUGGGGUCUCUUCUGACGCUGAGGCACGAAAGCUAGGGGAGCGAAC